AUGAUUAAGAUCUCAUUAGUCAUUGAUCAACAGUGUGUUUAAAAGUGGACUAUUUGUCAAUCAGCAUCUCUUUUAUAGAAUAAAAUUUUAGGAGGUGAAAUCUCAUUAGCUGAAAAUGAAGGGGAAGAGGACAUUUGCAGGGCACUUCACUGUCAUGAACCAUUUUGUUGCUUGUUUUAUAAUCUACAUAAUGGCAAUCAAAAUAGGGGCGGUAUAAAAUUAUUAUAGUUCACAUCUACACUGCUCAUUUUUUAUUAUGAUUGAUAAAGAAGCACUAUUUUGUUGUUAAAGGACGAAAGAAUUAUAUAAGGUUUCAAUACUGUUCCAAGGUCAUUUAACAAUUUAAUGUUAAAAGGACUGAUGCAUGUAGGCACACUGACAUAUUUUUAUAUUGGUAAUGAGACAAGCUAACUGGUGUGAGAAUGAAUUGUUACAGCACAAAACCUUAUCCAAAAAUACUGAAAACCUUCUGCUUUGUGCAGCCUUCUUACUAGUGAUGUGGCUGUGCUCAUGCGAAAGUAGUGUGAAUAGCUGAUGUAUAAACCUUUCAGUUUCUUUCUCCUGUCCUCUACUUGAAACUGCAUAUCCUUUUCCUUCUCGCUGUCAGCCAUUCCACCGACAUUUGACACAACCCGGCCUCCUCUCUCCGACUCUCUUUAGCCGCCUCCCUGCAAGUACCCACAUUGAGACCGCCGACAUUGGCUCUCUCUAUUCCAUUUUCCUUUCCUGCUCGUCCUUUUCUCCACGAUCGUAUCUAGUCGUAGGUGUGUUUAGCUUAUUUAAUUUUGUGGAGUUUGGGUAC
rnacentral:lncRNA from 1 species